GCUUCGAUCGUCCAACGGUUAGGGCGCGGGUCUCAUAAUCCCGAAAUCUGAGUUCGAUUCUCAGUCGAGGCA
rnacentral:tRNA from 1 species